AUCUCCUUGCCAUAGAUGAACUGAGCCUUCGUUGUGAGGAAAAGGAUUUUCAAUAUCCAUAGGAUCAAAUUCCCAUUUCCCAAAUGCAACCAUGAGGUCACGAUGUAAGGAUUCAAAUUCCCCUUGUUGAGUUACCUUUUGCAUGGGUGUUAGACUCCCAGCAACUGUGGAAAAAAUUUCCAGAUCUUGUCGAGAGAAAAUCUCAGGCCUUCUGACAACAAGAGAUGAUGCAGGAAACCACUUCUGCGUGUUCCACCAGUAGGUUAGACAUGGAGUAUAGUAAGCAACACGUAGUGUCCACUGGUCUUGUGGUAGCUGUAGGUAGUACGCCUCUUUAGACAAGUUGGCAGGAAAUUGAGGCCACCAAUAGUUGACAA
rnacentral:misc_RNA from 1 species